AUUGGCACAUACGAAUUGAUCCGCAAAUAUCCGAAUGGGGCAACCCAGUAUACUGAAGGUAUACUACAUCGCAAGAUGAGCAAACCCGCUGAACUGAAACAUCUAAGUAGGCGGAGGAGAAGAAAACAAAAGUGAUUCCCAGAGUAGUGGCGAGCGAAAUGGGAGGAGCCCAAACCUGUAUUGUUUCGGCAAUGCAGGGGUUGUAGGACUGCGAUAUUUGCUGUUUAUCGAAUUAGAACACCUUGGAAAAGUGUGACCAUAGAGGGUGAUAGUCCCGUAUAGGUAAGAUAAAUAAGUGAUAGCAGUAUCCUGAGUAGGGCGGGGCACGUGGAACCCUGUCUGAAACUGCCGGGACCAUCCGGUAAGGCUAAAUACUCCUGAGAGACCGAUAGUGGACUAGUACCGUGAGGGAAAGGUGAAAAGCACCGUGAAUAACGGAGUGAAAGAGACCCUGAAACCAUACGCUUACAAGCGGUCGGAGCGGAUAUAUCCGUGACGGCGUGCCUUUUGCAUAAUGAGCCUACGAGUUACUGUUACUGGCAAGGAUAAGCACUUAAGGUGCGCAUUCGAAGCGAAAGCGAGUCUGAAUAGGGCGGUGUAGUCAGUAGGAGUAGACGCGAAACCUGGUGAUCUACCCUUGGGCAGGUUGAAGCACUGGUAACACAGUGUGGAGGACCGAACUGGUUGUCGUUGAAAAGACUUCGGAUGACCUGAGGGUAGGGGUGAAAGGCCAAUCAAACUGGGAAAUAGCUCGUACUCCCCGAAAUGCAUUUAGGUGCAGCGUUGUGACAAAAGUUUAAUAGAGGUAGAGCUACUGAUUGGAUGCGGGGGUUUCACCGCCUACCAAUUCCUGACAAACUCCGAAUGCUAUUAAAUGUUUUACAGCAGUGAGGGCUUGGGUGCUAAGGUCCAAGUCCGAGAGGGAAAGAACCCGGACCAUCAGCUAAGGUCCCCAAAUAUAUGCUAAGUUGAAAAAACGCGGUUGAACUGCAUGGACAGCUAGGAUGUUGGCUUGGAAGCAGCCAUACAUUUAAAGAGUGCGUAACAGCUCACUAGUCGAGCGGUUCGGCAUGGAGAAUAAACGGGCAUAAGCAUAUUACCGAAGCUAUGGGGUAGAGAUACCGGUAGGGGAGCAUUCUAUAGGCGUUGAAGCUAAAGGCGUGAGCCAUAGUGGAGCUUGAUAGAAAAGAAAAUGUAGGCAUAAGUAACGAUAAGGCAGGCGAGAAACCUGCCCGCCGAAAGAUCAAGGUUUCCUCAGCUAUGCUAAUCAGCUGAGGGUUAGUCGGGGACUAACGCGUACCCUUUUAGGGGAAGUGGAUGUACAACUGGUUAAUAUUCCAGUACUAGUAUUUCAAUAAAAGCGACGGAAUGAGAUAUACGCUGCGCACAGACGGAGUUGCGUUGAAGGAGCUGUUAUGGCUUUGAUAGUACACUUAGGCUACGGUCGAGGUGAUAAUGCGUAGACAACGUUUCCAAGAAAAGCGAGAGAUACUACCCGUACCGUAAACCGACACAGGUGAUUGGGAAGAGAAUUCUAAGGCGCUCGAGAGAUUCAUGGCUAAGGAACUAGGCAAAAUAGACCUGUAACUUCGGGAGAAAGGUCGCCUAUCUAGCGAUAGGCCGCAGUGAAAAGGUCCAAGCGACUGUUUAUCAAAAACACAGGACUCUGCAAAAUCGAAAGAUGAGGUAUAGGGUCUGACACCUGCCCGGUGCUGGAAGGUUAAGAGGAGGGCUUAGCGUAAGCGAAGGUCUGAAUUGAAGCCCCAGUAAACGGCGGCCGUAACUAUAACGGUCCUAAGGUAGCGAAAUUCCUUGUCGGGUAAGUUCCGACCUGCACGAAUGGUGUAACGAUUUGGACACUGUCUCGGCCAUGAGCUCGGUGAAAUUGUAGUAUCGGUGAAGAUGCCGAUUACCCGCAGUGGGACGAAAAGACCCUGUGCACCUUUACUAUAUCUUCGUAUUGACCUUGGAUAAGUGAUGCGUAGGAUAGGUGGGAGACAUUGAUUGGGGCAUUCCGGUGCUUCAGGAGUCGUUGUUGAAAUACCACCCUUUGCUUAUC
rnacentral:rRNA from 1 species